rnacentral:rRNA from 1 species
ACGAAUAAGGGCUGGGCAAGACCGGUGCCAGCCGCCGCGGUAAUACCGGCAGCCCAAGUGAUGGCCGAUCUUAUUGGGCCUAAAGCGUCCGUAGCUGGCCGCACAAGUCCAUCGGGAAAUCCACCUGCCCAACAGGUGGACGCCCGGUGGAAACUGUGUGGCUUGGGACCGGAAGGCGCGACGGGUACGUCCGGGGUAGGAGUGAAAUCCCGUAAUCCUGGACGGACCGCCGAUGGCGAAAGCACGUCGCGAAAACGGAUCCGACAGUGAGGGACGAAAGCCAGGGUCUCGAACCGGAUUAGAUACCCGGGUAGUCCUGGCCGUAAACAAUGUCUGUUAGGUGUGGCUCCCACUACGAGUGGGUGCUGUGCCGUAGGGAAGCCGCUAAACAGACCGCCUGGGAAGUACGUCCGCAAGGAUGAAACUUAAAGGAAUUGGCGGGGGAGCACUACAACCGGAGGAGCCUGCGGUUUAAUUGGACUCAACGCCGGACAUCUCACCAGCAUCGACUGUAAUAAUGACGACCAGGUUGAUGACCUUGUCCGAGUUUCAGAGAGGAGGUGCAUGGCCGCCGUCAGCUCGUACCGUGAGGCGUCCUGUUAAGUCAGGCAACGAGCGAGACCCGCAUCCCUACUUGCCAGCAGUACUUCACAGUAGCUGGGGACAGUACGGAGACCGCCGUGGCCAACACGGAGGAAGGAACGGGCAACGGUAGGUCAGUAUGCCCCGAAUGUGCUGGGCAACACGCGGGCUACAAUGGUCAGGACAAAGGGUUCCAACUCCGAAAGGAGACGGUAAUCUCAGAAACCUGAUCGUAGUUCGGAUUGUGGGCUGCAACUCGCCCACAUGAAGCUGGAUUCGGUAGUAAUCGCGUGUCACAAGCGCGCGGUGAAUACGUCCCUGCUCCUUGCACACACCGCCCGUCAAAGCACCCGAGUGAGGUCCGGAUGAGGCACGUUCCACGUGUCGAAUCUGGGCUUCGCAAGGGGGCUUAAGUCGUAACAAGGUAGCCGUAGGGGAAUCUGCGGCUG